CGGACGGGGCCCGCACAAGCGGUGGAGUAUGUGGUUUAAUCGAUGCAACGCGAAGAACCUUACCUGGUCUUGACAUCCCGGAGACCCUUAGGAAACUAGGGGGUGCUUCCAUCUGGAAGAAUCUGGAGACAGGUGCUGCAUGGCUGUCGUCAGCUCGUGUCGUGAGAUGUUGGGUUAAGUCCCGCAACGAGCGCAACCCUUGCCUUUAGUUGCCAGCAGUUCGGCUGGGCACUCUAAAGGGACUGCCGGUGUUAAACCGGAGGAAGGUGGGGAUGACGUCAAGUCCUCAUGGCCUUUAUGACCAGGGCUACACACGUACUACAAUGGCCGAUACAAAGGGCAGCGACACUGCGAGGUGAAGCCAAUCCCGUAAAAUCGGUCUCAGUCCGGAUUGGAGUCUGCAACUCGACUCCAUGAAGUUGGAAUCGCUAGUAAUCGUGGAUCAGCAUGCCACGGUGAAUACGUUCCCGGGCCUU
rnacentral:rRNA from 1 species